rnacentral:rRNA from 1 species
AGCGAACGCUGGCGGCAGGCUUAACACAUGCAAGUCGAGCGGGCAUCCUUGUGGUGUCAGCGGCAGACGGUUGAGUAACGCGUGGGAACGUGCCCUUCGUUGCGGAAUAACUCAGGUAAACUUGAGCUAAUACCGGAUACGUGCUAGAGCAGAAAGGGUUAUUGGUCGAAGGAUCGGGUAGUGUCUGAUUAGGUAGUUGGUGAGGUUAGGGCUCACCAAGGGGACGAUCAGUAGCUUGUCUGAGAGGAUGAUCAGCCACACUGGGACUGAGACACGGCCCAGACUCCUACAUACAUGCCCACUAUUCAAUAUUACACCAUCAAGGCAAACCUGAUCCACCCAUGCCGCGUGAGUGAUGACGGCCUUAGGGUUAUAAAUCUCUUUUCUCCCCGACUAUACUAACCUUCCCCCAACAAUAACCCCCGGCUAACUUCCUG